rnacentral:rRNA from 1 species
UACGAAGGGGGCUAGCGUUGCUCGGAAUUACUGGGCGUAAAGGGAGCGUAGGCGGAUAUUUAAGUCGGGGGUGAAAGCCCAGGGCUCAACCCUGGAAUUGCCUUCGAUACUGGAUAUCUAGAGUAUGGGAGAGGUGUGUGGAACUCCGAGUGUAGAGGUGAAAUUCGUAGAUAUUCGGAAGAACACCAGUGGCGAAGGCGACACACUGGCCCAUUACUGACGCUGAGGCUCGAAAGCGGUGGGAGCAACACGG